UGACUCACCUGUGCAUAUAUUUCACCAGCUUUAGCCUCUCAGUAACUCAUUUCCUUUUCUUAGCUAAUAAACCUUUUAUUUGUUUACUAUAGAAUUGGCUACCAGCAUUGUCUUUGGUGUAAGAUCUAGAGUACCAAUUGAUCUGAGUAGCACUUGGAGCCAGGACACCUUUGUGCUAGACACUGAAGGAAUACAAAGGAAAAGUCCCUGUUCUGAAGAGCUUAAAAUCUUAAAACAACAGACAGCAGACAGCUAUGACAAAUAUAUCAGGAAAAUGGAAGCACAAGGGAACAGCAAGACAACUGAAAUCAGUAUGAAAGCAGUGUCAUAGCACUCGUUUCACUACCACCAAAGUUUGUUGUUGUUGUUUUUUCCAGUCAUCACAAAAUAAAGAGAGAUUUAAAGGAGGAUAA